AGACAUUCCGAGGGGAACAGAAUCGACUGCUACACCGCUCUUCAGCAGCAGUCGCCUCUAGUCCCGUUUUCUGCUAAGAGCAAGGCCCAGUAACGUUAGCAAGCUCCAGUCAUGACCCCAACACACAAGAAUGGGCAGACAGUGCUUUAGGCAGUAGCAAAGAUGACCGAACGCUCUCAAGAAUGACUCACAGAUGGAGAACUCACAGGAAGAUGAGGGCUUGGAAAGAGAAAGCCAGCGAAAAGUGUGAGCAGUGCAGCGCUGG